ACCUUUACCAGGAUGAGCUUGGACUCCUUGGGCUUUGUGCUGGAGAAGCACUGCCCGAAGCAGAGGAAGAUGGUGAAGUCGGGGGAGCGCUCCCUGCGGCUGUCGCGGAAGUCCCGGAGCUCUGCAGGAAGAGGUCCGGGCUCACCUGAGGCAACCGCGUAGACCUUGUGCGGGUCGUCGUUGCACUUGGAGCGGUCCUCCAGCAGCAUGAACAUGUGAGUGCUCCUCAGGGCGCAGCGGAAGUUGGUCUUCCAUUUGGCCGGAUCCUCAGCGUUCCCCUCGUACCUGCCGCUGGCCUUCGCCCAGGCCUGGUGGGCACGGACAGGUGAGCACAGGGACCCCAGAAAUGAUCUCAUCUCAUCCAUAUCAAAGGCCUUGAGGUCAUUGCUGGUCACCCCUUGUCCCAGCCUCCCUUGAAGCCCCUGAGGUCACCGCUAGUCAUCCCCCAACAGAACUGUGGUGUGGCGGGGCCCUGUGGGUCCGCCUGGCUCAGGCCUUGCACAAGCAGGAGCAUCCAGCAUGGGUUGCUGCCAUUCUCACCUGCCUUGAAGACUACAGUCCUUCAGUCGCACCUAUCCUACUUCAAAGGCCUUGCGGUCACCGCCGGUGCCCACCCCAUUCCCAUCCACCUGUGGUUCUCAUCCCACAGAACCAUUAAGGCUGGAAAGCCACCAACCCAUCCCCGCCAUGCCCACUGCCCCUAUCCCUCACUGCCCCAUCCACGCACUUCUUACACACCUCCAGCACAGCGAUCUCACCAGUGCCCCAAGCGGCCUUUGCACCCCGUCCGGCCAUCUUGAAGACCACACGCCUCUUGUGCCACCUCCAAGACCUCGCAGUCCCCGCUGCUGACCAUCCCACCCACCUCUGAGUCCCCGCCGGCCGCCCACCUUGAAGAUCUCCACGUCGCUGCUGGUGACAUCCUUCCUGGCGUUGUGCUUCCAAGGGAUGCGGAAGAUACGGCGGUCCGGGUCGAUCCAGCAGAGGCCGCGGUACAGCCCGCUGCUGACGGCGUUCAGCAGCCAUGGCCCGAAGCGCAGCUUCUGGGCGUCCCUGCGGGGCGGCACGGUCAGCUCCCGGGCUGCGCGGACACCCGGCGGGCACCCGGCCGCGCCGCUUACCCCUCGCUGUCCAGCGCUGCCAUGGCUCCGAGGCUUCCGCACUGCUCCGCGCACGGACGGGACCGGACGGGACCACCCCGAGGCCGGGCUUUAUAGAGCGGCGGUGGCUUUCCUGGAAAUCACGUGGGGAAAUGAAACUGAAACCGCUCCGGUGGGAGGGAGCGGCCGGGAGGGUGCGGGUGCGCAGCUGCGGGGUGCGGGGAUACCGCUUCGGCACCGCCACUCUCGACCCGUCGCGGCCGUCAGCGGUCCGCCGGCGGCGGUGGGGAUAUCCGCACUACGCGGCGCGGGUCGAAGGGCGGCCCGGAACGCUGCCAGCGGGGCUUUCCGACUCGGCCCCAACGUGCAGCCUCGGGGCUGGAAAGUCCAGCGGGCUCUGAAGUUAUUUUUACGAUUUAACUCUUUUUCUGUUUAUCAACCACUGCUAUCUACGAAGCUCCCCCCCUCUCCCCCCCCCCAGACUCCCAGGAUAUUUCAGGAUAUUUGCUCCUUUUGAGGAAUUCCCCUCCCUGCUCUCUGGAAAAUUCUCACAUUGCCUCAUAGGAAAUUUCACCCUUCAGGACAUUUGACCGCACCUUUUCAGGAUUUCCCUAUCGUUUUUCUGGAUUUCUUCCAUUUUGCUCUGUAGGAAUUUCCCCGUGAUUCUAUAGGAUGCUUCCUUACCGCUUCCUGGUACGCUUUUCUCUUUUCCUCCAGGGAAGAAGGCCAAAAGCCAUGGUUACGGAGAGGCAUUAAGCACCUGGAGCCACCAGAGCCAAGGCCUGGGCAGGGACAAGGUGACACCGCAUGGGGCAUAAGGGAGAAGAGCCCAGCGGAUGACCCAGUGCAGAAGUCGUGGGUAGGACGCGGCAGGUGCCAGCUCCACGUUCCUCACCAUCCCCUGCCCUGGGAACACGCGGUACGUGCAGCAGGGAAGCAGACACCUGGCCAGGGUGAGCAGAGGUGCGACCGAUUGCCUCUAUUUCGUAAUACCGGAAUCCACACUUGGGAGGUCUCUGCUCACCGGUGAUGGAUCGGAAUUCCCCCACUUGAAACGCAUCUUUGUUUUGGUGCCGGCCUGCAGGGCCAGGUCACGGACACCUCCUGACACCCUCCAGCCUCGGGUCCAAGCGGUUAAACCCAGCCCCAGUGAGGUCACAGAACAUCCCCAGAAGCACCUGGGGAUAAGGGAAAGUGACCCCCCAAAGCUCAACCCCCACUCCCACAGCCCCAUGGGUGCCCCCAAUCCCACCUUCUCCGAAACGCUGGGAUGAGGAAAGCAGGGAGGGAGGCAGCUCCAAACCCCCACAGACUUGCACCUGGAUUUAGGAAGCCAUACAUACGAGCCUCCCCCCAAUGAGGAUUCGCGGUGUUUUGCUGAACAAGAGCAGCUGAAGGUUUCGGGAGGAAGAGGGAGCACCUUAGAAAAACCACAAAUCUUUCUCUUUUAAUCCACCCAAGAGAAAUCCAGAGCAAGAGCAGCAUCACAGCACUACACACAUCACAGACAUCUACCGGACUCGGAGACCAUCUUUGCACAGAUUCCUUCCCAAAUACAAGGAAAAAUCAUUAGGAAAAAAAGGAAAGUGAUUCACAUAAGCAAAGUGACAAGGAACAAAUCAGCCACAGAACGACUUCUUCUAAGAGAAAAAGGAUGCAUUGAGGAAGGAAGCCCUCAACUUAUGGGUUUGGAGAAAUACCCCAACCCAAGGAUGCUGAACCAGAGGUGGUCGUCUUUCAAACAUUAAAAACGUUGAUUGUUUUGUUUUUAAAUUAACUUAAAUGUACAACUGAAACACAAAGACCAAGCGAGCGCCUGGAGAAACAAACAAAAAGAAGGAAUGGAAGGUGAAUCUGACUCGUUUAAUUUAAACAUCGAGGUUGGGUGGAUUGCACCACAUGGAAUAAAUAAUGGAGAAGAUCACGGUGAGCUUGUUCAUCUCGCACUUAAGAUAAUUCACCAAGGAUUAACAGCACAGCCCACGAGAGUACUUAAUGAGAAGCCCUCUGACAAGUGGUUGCAGCUGGGCAGCGUCCCUUUGGCAGAGCAGGUUGUGGAGCAGGGAAGUGCCCCCGCCACCCAACGAUGAACACUACCCCAAGGGCAAGAGGGAUGAUGAGCUCCUGGGAUUGCAAUCCCGCAGUCCCACCUGCACAACAGCUCCCUGCUCAGGGCGUGGAACCUCCUUGACAGCAGCUGGCUGCAGGCAUGCCCAGUCAAACAACUCAAAACCGGACCUUGUGCUUUCACCUUGCAAGGUAAGAGCAAACACACAGGCUUUCUAGCACAGCUGCCGUACCUUGGACCCUAUGGAAACAGACCAGGCUCCUCCUUUCACGCCCUGGGGCCAAGCCAGGAAACACAAAGCUAACUGUGUACACAGCUAACCAUAUACCUGCUGCAGGCAUCGCCUCGGAGUGGGCAGGCUGAAGGAAUGUAAGUGGUUUCUUUUUGUUUGGUUGCUUUUCUCUCCCCACAAUUUCUGCGUUAAAAAAUAAAAUAAAGUUGAUCCCAAGUUUCUCUCCUUCCCCUGCCUGCAGCCAAGCAGGGAAGGACCUUCGACAUUCACAUGAUCCCACAUACUUGUUCCCUACAGAGCAGCCACCUCGCCGCUGCACUUCGCCAAGAGGGAAGUCCCUUUGCUUUAAAACAAAAAUAAUUACAAAAAAAUAUAUAUAUAUAUAGCAAUGAUCUCCUUUCCCUUCCUCUGAUCUCCAAGAAAUUCACCCUAGUCCAACUCAUUUUUGAGCAAGGGAGAGAGGCGAAGGUUCCCAAGCCAAGGAACUUGCCAGACCCAGCAUCCCCUUUGCAGGACACCUGCUCUCCUCCUGGGACCCAGCAUCCGGAGGGGUGGCUGAGGGACACAGCUGCCCCUGCAGCCCCUCUGCAGGCAGCCGGGAGCCCUGGGAAGGGUGGAGGUGAAUGAGGGCUCAGGUUAUUUUUUCCCCCUUCCCUCUUCCUUGUAAAUGCUGGGAGGGGACUUCUGGGUGUGCAAGCCCAGUCUGUGCUUACCAGUGUCCUUAAGAAUUAUGAUCAAAAAGAAAAAGGAAAAAAAAAAAAAAAAAAAAAGGAAAGGAUAAAAAAAAAAAAAAAAGGUAUGCAUAAUUGGGUAUUGUCCGUGGAAGGAGAGGGAGGGAACAGGCUCCAGAUCAAGACAGAAAAGAGACUCUCCCUUCCCGCGUUUGCUCGUCUGGAGACCAUGUCCCCCAUGUUCCCAUGCGAACCCUCUGUGCUGUUGCUCUGACACCACUGGACAUGGACGACAAACACAGGGAUGAAUCCGGUGUGGCAGAGGACGGGCGGGCACAGGCAGGCAUGCCGGGGCUAGGCCCGGUGCUUGGGGAGUAUGUCCAGGAGGAACUCCGCAAUGCCAAUGAAGUAGACGACUUGUGCGAUGCCGAAGAGAGGAGCGAUGACCAGGGCUCGGCAGUACGCCCCUUUCAGGAAGGCCAUGGGUCCUUCCUUCUGCCAGAUCUUCCUGGGAAAAGAUGGCACAGUACUAAACCCAGGAGUCUCACUUGGUGCAGUCCAGGAUUCCUGAGUACGUGUCUUCGUUGACUCCUCUCUGCAAAGAUUGCAGCCGUGUUUUGAUCACUGGGGAGAAAGAGGAGAGACAGUGGUGAGUGGAGGGCUGGCCUCCCCCAGCAGCCCCUUCUUCUAAACUCAGUAUCUUUCUGUAAAAUGGGAUCUGAUUUCCAAAUACUCAGAGCUACCUCUAAAUGCUCAACUCCUUCUGGAAGAGCAGGUCAAAAUAUCUAAAAUAUGCAGCACUACUCUUACAUUUCUUCCCCUCUUGAAGUGUGUGUAGUGUUGACAAGAGAGCAGUUACUUUCAGGUGAGAUUUUAAGGUAUUUGAGGCAGCUGCUGUGGAGCAGAAGAAAAGGCCCCUGCUUGCCUCUGCCCUUUGGCAUGAGUGCCAUUGGUUGGGGGACAGUGCUCCAGAUGGAAAUGUGCCUUUUCAGGGGCAAGUCCUGUAAAGAAUAGCUGAAGUGAGUGACAUCUUCCUGACUUAUAUAGUGAGUACUGCAAACUUCAGUGUAAGAAACGGUCAAGGUUCCAGCUCAGCUGCAGGAAACACCUUCAGCUCCUGGAGGCAGCUCCAACAGCAGAGCACGCUUCCUAUACUUCCCUCAGUGCUCAUGCAGUGAAGAGGCAAGCACGGCCAUCCUUCCCCUCACCCAGCCCACCCGAUGGCCUCUGAGUGCUGUCACACAGCACCAGGCUGCCAGAACAAGCUGCUGGGGACUCACCAUCACAAGGAUUGACAGCCACUGCAGCUGUACUACCGGCCACGCAUCCAGAGAGAAAGGACACGUAGAACGGGGCCUUGACAUCGGGGUCUUUCUGGCCCAGCUUGUUCAGGUUUGCAAACAGCGGGAAGUAAACGAUGGAGAAUGGGACAUCCCUGUGGAGGGAAGGAAGGAAGGGGAAGAAAGAAAGAGGACAAGGAUGAGCAAAGUCAGGCUGGGACACCAACAAACCAAGCAUCAAAGGACGGGCUGCACGCUUGGUGUGCUGGCAGCGCAGCCACAAGCGCAGGGCAGGCAUCAUCCCAGCUCUGCGACUGCACGAAGAGCUGAAACUCCUGUGUCACUCUGUGGAGGCUCAGGCUGACAGUUCCGCUCCGUGUCCUACCUUAGCAGCGUGGCUCCCAGGCCCUUGUAGAGCCCCGCGAUGCCUUUGCUGCGCAGCAGCUCCCUGGUUAUCUGCGUCGCUGUGGUGCGCGCUUCCACCACCGGCUCUGCUGCCCCGGCCGCGGAGGAAGGGGAGAGCUGGGCCUGUGCUGCCAUCAGCUUCUUCUGUGCCGCUGCGGAGAAGCAGAGAGAGUGUGAGACUGCAAGAUGCUCAACUGCAGCCUCUUGCUGCCUGGUGCCACGGGACAGAAGUAGGGCAAACGAGAGGUACGGCAAUCAUUAAGUCUGAGCAGGUAUACCACGUUUACACAGGCAACGUGGUUCCUUCCAGGAGCCUUUCCGAACUCUGAUGCAUUUCUGCUCUUUGGCCAGAAGAUGGGGAGCACACCAACCUGUAGGCAACGCUGUGGCUGCCACCGGCACACCGCAGGUCCCUGCCGCACAGAGAACAAGCCGUGUGCAGAAGCACUAACCUCUUUUGAACUUUUCAACUGUGGCUUAAAUCCUUCAAACACUUUAAAAUGCUACACACAAAGAAGAUAAGGUCUGCAUUAAAAGCAGCAAACAGAUGAAAGAAAAAUAAAUCCAUGAUUGUUCAGGAAUGCCACAUCAAAGGAGGGAUUAGAGGACAAAUUGGCCCAUCUUCCAGGCAGUUUCAGAAGGUAUCUAAGUGGACAUCACCAGGCGUUCUCAGGAACGGGGCCAUAUGCUGGGCUGACUUCUGAAUGAGGUUAAUGGUGACAGUUCUUCCUUCAGAUUCACCGAGCCACUUCUGGUCUCAGUUCUGAUCAGGAAAGCAUAUCUGGAAGCUGUUAGGGUGCUGCUAUUGUGGGGAGUGCGGAAGAGAGAAAGGACAGCGGGAAAGAAGGAGACAGAGGAAGUACCACAGCAAAAGCACUGCAGGAUGUUAACCCCUUCCUGACUGUAGAGAACUAGCAAGUUGUAAGCACUCAAAAGGUGCUCAGCCCAGCCAUCUCUCCUAUAUCUCUCUAUCCACCACGAGCAUUUGCUGUUUCACCUGCCAAGCUCUGAGCAAAAACACUUUUUCUAACCAAAAGGGCCUUUGCAAGGCCAGGUGAGCAAAGGCUGGGAGGAAACAAGUUGGGAAGAGGAGAAAUUUCUGCUACAAACUGAGGUACCUCUGACUCAAGGUGGGAGGAAGGAAAGGGGUUUAUAUGGCUCGUUCCCUCUCCCUGCCUGGUGCACAGGGAGAUGCACACGUACCGAUCCGUCCUGCAUCCUGCAGCUGGAUUUUGAGCAUCUCCAUGGGAGUGGUGACGAUCACCUGGCAGGUACCCGCGCCGCAGCCUGCCAGCAUCUCCCUCAGCAGCGUCAGCUUCUUCCUGCCCAAAGGAAGAGAGGGGUGGUCAGAGGAGGUGGCCAACAUUCAAUGCUGACGACAUCCCCAGCAGAGACCACCGGGCAAGGGGCAGGAGGAAAUAGUUCUAGUUGCUGCUUUCAACUUCUCUGACAAAAGCAACAACAUGUAAAAAAUGAAUGUGAGAGUCAAGAAGCAGCUCCCUUAUAUUAGGAAGGUCUUCAACUCAUAAGCCUUUUCACACCUACUUCCUAAAGGCAGAAAAGGCAGCUUUUAUACCCAACUGGUCCUGCUGAGAGACGAAGGGCGCGACAGACCCCCAGUACUGCAGCCCUGUGCAUUUUCUGUGCCAGAGGGCUGGAGUCACCGAGGGCAUGCUCUUGUCUUACAAAACACAGCUUCCUCCCUCCCGAAGCCACAAAACCACCCAGUUAGGGCUGAAAAGAGGAACUUAGGAUGCAGAAGGGCUCAGUUUUAAGAAACUUAUGAGUUCUCGCCCUGUAAAAAUCUCACACUACGGUGGCACCAGAAAUCAUUGGAAGAAAAAGUGCUUAUGAUCUGUUCCUUUUUUAAAAGGGAAAAAGAAAAAAGAAAAAAAAAAAAAGCAGAGAGAGAUCAUGCAGCCAAGAGGAAACAGCCUCUUUUUUUGUUGUUUUAAACACGAGGAGUACUUUCACCUCCCCACAGCCCUGCUCCUGCAGAAAUAGGCAACUGUGGGGUCUGAGUGCAACGAAAGGAGCGUUAAUUGCUGCUGGGAGCCAUCCCAGCACGUGCAGAGCAGCAGGCAGUGCUGGGGAUUUGCUCAGCUUUCCCCAGCUGGGCUUCCCCCAGCUGGGCGCAUCACUCUGCCCGCUCCCCACCUGCCCAGCUCUGCUCAUGGGCCGCAGGGCACGCUGGGUCACAGUGGGACUGCCCUAAUCCUGCUUCCCUGCCACGUCAGUGCGCCCAUUUCUCCACCUCUCAUUUCCAGGCUGGGUAUCAGAGCAGGGGAUUAGAGGCACAAAGCCACAACAGAGAUUACGACGGCUAAAUAUAGCGCUCUCCGUUGGGACUGAAGGAAGAAACACUGCACAGUAUUACCUUUCCAAAUUCUCCUGUGGAUGAAACGUGGGCAGAAGCAUGAUUGCACAGCCCUUAGGCCAGCAGUGGGAGGACGCAGACAUGCACAGAAGCCAGCUACCAGUCCCCCCACCACCUGGCAGAGCAUCUUCUGCCUCAGCAAGAGCCCUGCAGCAACCGUGAAGCACACGCUUGGCUUUCACCCAGGGAGAUUGCUUUGAUGCCCGGUUCAAAAGCUCAGGAAGAUGCCCUGUGUGUUCAUCUGUGGGCCAUUACCGCAGCACACACAAAUCAGCUUGCCUUGAUUGAGCUCCACAGAGCCCCAUCAGUGCAACUCAGUAAAGGCUUAUGUGCAUGGGUGUAUAAACAGGCCACAUCAAAAGCAUGCAGAAUGAGGGCUUUCGGUUUGCAUCUCUUGGAAACCUGAGGGGAGUCCAGGAAAUAAGACAAGCAAUUUUUUUGUCAGAAGGCUUAAAAUUUACCAUCCAGAGGUCAAAUUUCUAUCACACAACUUUGCUAGUCUGCGCAUAAAAUGAGUUGGAAAAUGAAUCAUCUCUAGAUGACAACAGGGGUUUCAACUUCAAGGCACCACAGGCCUUAUCCUCGGUGGUCUGAACACUGGAACAUCCCAACUAACUUCAAAAGCCCCAAUCCCUACAAGGAUUUGGUCUGACAAGUGUAAGAACAAUCUUUCAUCACAACAAGAGUGUGUUAAAUAUAAAAAAUAUCCCAAAUUCUGCACCGAUGGCAGUCACUCCUUUUUUUUUUCUUCCUUUCUUUCUUAGUAACUGAUGUACACAUAAUUAGUGACAAAUCAACAGUGUUACAAGGGAGUAAGGAAGAAGUUUCACGUUCUGAAGUGGAGUCUAAAGUGGAGUUUCAAAGUAGAGCUGAAAUACAAAACAAAGUCAAGAAGCAGGAACUGAAGAUUUACAAAGGGCUUUUGUAGAGCCAUGCAGCAGCCUACAGUUACAGCCUCUGCAAGCACUGGUAUACUGAUGUCAAAUUGAUCUUUUUCAAAAGCUUCUGAAAAAUCUUGGCUGUGUAGGAGAUGCCAGUGCUGGGGGAAGGACCCAACCAUUCCACAAUAGGUGUGACAAGAUUCCUAAAGGCAGGAAAAGUCUGACCUAAGGAAACAUCCACAACAAAGCCAUAUUGUAGGAACCAAGAUGUUCCUCUUCCCAGCUCGGACAUCACCUUCCUCACUCAUAACCUCUGCCUUUGGUCUGUCUACCCAACAGAUUGCACAAAGCUCCCUAAGAGUUCAAAUCAAAGACAGCCAGUUGGUUUCUAAUAGUGUAAAUAGCAGGAACGGAAACAACAAGGGGCACGUUCCUUCCACAGGCACCUGCUGUGAUUAAACAACCCAUCUCCAGCUCCCUCUGGAUUAGCAGCUGAAGGUGACCUUACCUUCUGGCUGACCUUUAGUAGCUAUGGCUUCAAUCCACCAUAACUCCCUGUGCGGCUGUAUGCUAAAUAACAGUGAGAUUAUCAACUCUGAACUUGCUCUUUCUCCCACCUACAAGUCUCAACAGGUUACAUGCAGGUUAUCUGCAUUAAGGAAGUAUCUGGACACCCAAUGGAUAACAACAGGAAAAGAACUGGCCCAUUAAAUUUCUUGUCAGAAAGUGGUGAUGCAGUGGCACAGGCUGCACAGGGGGUGGCGGAGUCACCACACCUGGAAGUGUUCAAGAACCAUGGAGAUGUGGCACUGAGGGACGUGGUCAGUGGGCAUGGUGGGGGUAGGCUUGGGGUUGGACUUGGUGAUCUUGGAGGCGUUUUCCAACCUUAAUAAUUCUGUGAUUGUACGACUGUGUGCAAGGUGACACAGAAGCUCAGCAGCACGACUAAUGGCAGCAUCCCUCCUUCCUAAACCUCUCUUCACAGCCUAUGUGCACCUUGCAGCUUAAAGAUCACCCAGGCCAUAUGACUGUUGCUUUUCCAGGUGCCACAAAUGAGAUAGCCUGAGUAUUUUAGGACAGCCUGAAAGAGGAGAGGAUGAAGGAAAGAGCCCAUCCAGCAAGGCAAUGGAGAACAAGCUCCAGUCUCCACAUCUACAUGGGAGCAGGAAAAGUGCUGUUUCCCUCUAGGACUACAGUCAGCUAUUUCUCUUCUCCAAGCAAAGCUAGAAAAGAAGGGGGGCAGAAAGGAAGAAAAUUUGCUGGCAUCAGCAAAGGAGCAAUUAAUACAAUCACACUGGUUUAAGUAGGAACCUGAGCUGCUCAGUCAGCACAUCGCCAGCCUUUGCUCCAGAACAGCAAAUAAAAUGCAGGUAUAGAUGAUGGGAGUGGUAAGAGAAUAACAUAAUGACAGGCUUUGAGGAGGAGGAACAGCAGGAAACUCAUCCAGGGAUACUGCAGAGUUUUUAUGAUUAAGAAAUACCUUUCAUAAGAAGACAUGAGACACUUUUUACUGGAGCCAAGGUAGAGCACUUAGCCAAGAACCAAACCUGGCAAGCAUGGGGCAAACAGCAGCUAUCUGGCACUAAAUGCUCUGAAGAUAAACAUGAAGACACUUUACAGGGACCAGCUUACCACCCGAAUUCAAAGAGGACAAAAAGAGUUAUAGGCAACACUUGCACCCAUAAAAGAGACCUCACGUACUGAGCACCUAAAAACAUCACUGUACUUUAAAUGCAUGCAGGUGUACUACCAAUUUACAUUGCUUUCUUAGCUUCGUGCCCCUGUGCUUCAUACUCAAGUGCUUCACUUAGCUCUAAUGACUCAUGCUCACACAUUCUCUGCUCCGGAUGAUAAAGCUGGUGCUGUUUUAAACAGCAGCUCUGAGUUUAGGGGUUUCUGCAUUCAUCCAGCUUCAGAAAUUCAGAGAAAAAUCUCAUCAGUUCCCUAUAGCCUAAAGAGAAGAAGUUUCCCCUCUCACAUCCUGCUUUCCCAGAGGCACAGUGAUGAAGACCUGCCAGAAGAUGCUUCUGCAGAUCCCCACUUCUGCUUGUUGGCCUGGAAACUGCAGAGACUCUACAGGCAAAAUAAUCACAGGACAAUGCCACGUUUUCAAGGGGGUUUCCAGUAGACACAGGCCUCCUUGUUCCUAAAUGAGGAGACAUGUGAAGACCAGCACAGUAAGUUUUGUUUCCUCUGGAAACAAGAAGUGCUAUCAGCAGGCUGCCACACUGGUGUCAACGUGAAAAUAGAAACAGGAAAAGAAGCAGAAAUGAAGCCCCUUAUCCUGUGAGCACAUUUCUCCUGUAACAAAAGGGAGUGGGACAUGGGCAUUGUAGGAGGGGGAGAGCACAUCCAAAUUGGCCCCAGGUUGAGAGACCUGCAGGAACAGAAUUCUCCAGGCUCAGGGGGACAAGAGCAUCAACAGAGGCAUAAAGUCCCACCUGAACUCCUACAGCCCCAGUAUGUCACCUCCUGAAACAUCCAUGAGCACAGCCAGGAAGACAAAAAAAAAGGAGUCUAGCACAAACCUGCAGUGAUACAGCCCCAGAAUAGUCUUACAGCAAUUUGCAGCCAGGAGCUUCCUACAUCAUCCGUGUUGUUUUCCAUCUGGCCUUUUGGAAACAGGCUUUAUGCCACGUUCUUUUUCGAGCAGUUUAAAAGCAGGUUCAUUUCAACAUCAAGUUUUUUCAAAGGGGAAAAGAAGAAAGCAGCUCACUAGAAGUUGCUGAGUAUCUUGAAGCUAUUUUGAGCCGUUUGCCACAUUUUCUCCUGUCCAUAAAUGCUUCUUCGAAGCUCAAGUAGAAGACAGACUCAGCAACUUUGGUCAAUAAAUACUGAUAAAAUAUGAAGGUUUUGUAAAACAAGGAACUGAUAAACAACACAUUUCAAGCAAGAUAAGUGCCAGAAGCUUAGCAAUGAAGGCACUCAACGUUAAACAGAUCUAGAAGACUCCUGCCCUGUCUUCUAUCAAAAAUAGCCAGGGAAAAGGGGACAGAAGCAUCUCAGUGGAGAAGCCUGCAGACAGCUUGGAAAGUGGGAUCAAGAGCAAGGCAACCCCCUGGCAGACACCCAGCUCCAUCACCCAGUGAAAUGACUUUGUCACGUGUGCUGCACAUGGGAAGAGAUCCUGGGAACUGCCAGCAGGAAGGUGGCACACAGCCACCAGAGCAUGGCUGGGUGCAACCUCUCCAACAGGUUAUUUUCACCAUUCCCACGCCUGCAAUUUCCCUGCAAGCAUAAGAAGGAUCUCAAAAUAAGCAACUGCCCCACAGUUUCUAAGGGUCCUCAUGCUGCUCCAUGGCUUUUUCAGCUACUCCCUGCUACCCAUGCCCUAAGCAAGGUCACGGUACGUACAGUACCUUCCAGCUAGAUCCCAGUUUCAGGGCCUAUAGCAGCCACAGCCAACCUGCAAGACACCUUCUUUCCCACUGCAUCUUGGAAUGUCACCUCUAGUUAGAAAUAUCUUAAACUGUCUAUAACCACAGUAUCAAGGUUCUGUCCUACUCAUUCCAGCUAUCUCUAUAAGCAGAGCUGACCAGAUUUCGUUCAUUCAAGCCCCCCAUAGUGGUUGACCUCAGCACCAUAUGAUGACUAGUUCACUUGCCACCUAACCAAGGCCUGACCUUUCUUUUCCUCGAAAGGAGAAAAAAAUGCUUCAUACUGAGACUCAACCUAUUAAGUCUUCACUUCAUCGAUGGUGGCGAAGAGCUAGGCUACAGCAGUACAUCAGGGCUCGCUGUGCUGUAUGCUGCACGGAUGAGACCCACCACUUGGAAGAAGCAAUGAGGACAUCAUCACCUCCCACCUUCUGUGCAGAGUACAGAGAGACACUAUUUGAAGAGACAGACGAUCGCAAACAGCUGCGAGCCGAUGAGUCACACAGAGGUACAUUAAGUGCUACUUCAAAAGACUCCAGAACCAAAAAAAAAAUAGGUGCAGGAAAGGCUCAGAUCCAGAGCCUGUGUAAAUCUGCAGACUCCACUGACGUUGUUGAGCCACUGUGUUCUGCCACAGCACGGCAUGUUACAGGAAGCUGUUAGAGCAAGUAAUUGUGGCAGAACUUUGCGUUUGCAGCAAGGUGAACUGCUGGGAUAAGAGUUCAGAACUGGGAUUUUAUUGCAGGCUGGUUGCUUUCUAGCUGCUGUCACUGAAAACAGUGCCCUUGCUGGACCCUUCACUGUCCGUCUCUGGAGAGAUGUCUUGAUCUUGAAGGGAGACGUGAGUGUCCUCUGCAUCUGUUCAAGCUACAGUCACUGAAAAACCAGAAAGAAGACAGCAGCAUCCAAUGGAAUGCUGACGACAAGGGUCCUCCCAGCAGCUGUCUGAGCAACCAUCAGUGCCAUUGGGUUCCUCUCAAAUACGCUGCUUACAAAGUCUGGAUCUGUUAACCUUGGCUAAGGGGUAGGCCUAUUUUUAGAAGCUUGAAUAAAAACCAGUCAUCCAGUGAA